AAGCAGCGACUCUCACUCCACCCACUGUUCACUAGGUUGAAUGACUGAGCUGCCGGUGUUCGUGUAAUGACACUGGCUUCACACAGAGUCCUCAUCUACAGAGAAGAACAAGAACAAGAACAAAAACCUAACAGACCGUGACGAAAGUGUGUGAAAACAUGAGACGGGACUCGUUUUAGCUGGACACCGUCCGGCUCUUUUUUUGUCCAUAGUGUGUUGUCGGUGUAAAAAACUUGGGCUCUGUCAGCGUUUCGCUCACCGGUGAGCCACUCACCUCUCAGCCGUUACUUUUGACACGGGUUGCCCUCGUUUCACUUCCAGGGGGAAAGUCAAAAACAGCGGAGGAGGAAGACGAAGAAGAAGCCGUGGACACCUGAACUUCCGACGGAAUCAGAAAAUAUCAGCCCGCAGACAGGAUCCUCGAUCGUCAGUGGGAUGUUAAAGCUCUGGAUGCAGGACUGAAGGAGCAUGGUGAAACACCAACCCCUCCAGGUCUAUGAGCGCCAGCUGUGUUUGUCAUGUAUCACCGGGAUCUAUGGUUGCCGUUGGAAACGGUAUCAACGUUCCCAUGAUGACACCACCAAGUGGGAGUUGCUGUGGACUGUCAUCCUCCUUUUCACCUUCUGCCUGCUGCUGGUGUGGUUCUACUUCUGGUGGGAGGCACAUAAUGACUACCAUGAAUACAACUGGUUUCUCUACAACCGCUCUGGGGAGUGGAGUGAUGGCACGGUUCCUAUCUUGGCAACCACCGCUGCUGGCUUCACCUAUAUUGCAUUUUUAAUGGUUUUAGCACUUUGCCACAUUGCACUUGGGCAACAGUUAAAUUUGCACUGGCUCCAUAAGAUAGGUGUGACUGCUGCUCUGAUCACCACCGUUGCUGGGGUGAUCUCUGUCAAUCAAACAUGGGGCCAAGAGUGGGACAUCAUUCCUAUCUCCUUGCAGGCUACAGGUCCAUUCCUGCACAUAGGGGCUCUCGCUGCUGUAACAGCGCUGUCGUGGAUUUUGGCCGGACAGGUCGCCCGCUCAGAAAAAACAAUUUUCCAGGUGGUUGUCAUGCUGCUGUACCUCAGUGUGUUAUUGGGACUCUAUGCACUGCCCCUCUACAUCACAUCCCCCUGUAUCAUGGAACCAAGCAACCUCAGACCCCGUCCGGAUGUUAUUGGCCACCAGGGAGCCCCCAUGCUUGCUCCAGAGAACACACUUUGGUCCUUUCAGCGAGCUCUUCAGAUGAACGUCACUGGGUUAGAGGUUGAUGUUGCCAUCAGUGUGGAUGGAGUGCCUUUCCUGAUGCACGACCGCACCCUGCAGCGGACCACAGACGUGGAGAAGGUUUUCCCAGACCGGCAGAUGGAUGAAGCCUCGCUCUUUAACUGGACAGAUCUGCAGCAGCUCAAUGCAGGACAGUGGUUCCUCAAGGACGACCCCUUCUGGACAGUGAACACACUGACCCUGCAUGAGAAGGCUCUGAUUGCCAACCAGAGUGUGUGCAGCCUGGAGCAUCUCCUAAGGUUGUCCUCCUAUCAUAACACCACUGUGGUUUUCAGGCUCAGGAGACCUCCCCCAGAUCAUCCCUGUUACCACAGCUGGAUCAAUGAAACACUACAUGCUGUGCAGCAAUCUGGGGUUCCUCACAGCCUGGUGAUGUGGACUCCAGAUGAGCACAGAGCUCAGGUGAAGCAGCUGGCACCUGAUCUCAUUCAGACCUCAGUGGAGAAACUGAGUCCUCAAAGUCUGAAUGGGUCAGGCAUCAGCACGCUGCUGCUCAGGUACAACCAGGCCAGCACAGAGGAAAUCAGCGAGUUCUCAGAGAUCCACAUCAACCUCACCCUCUACACUGUCAACGAGCCCUGGCUGUUCUCGGUGCUGUGGUGCAGUGGGGUGUCAUCGGUCUCAUCAGAAGCCCCACAUAUCCUCAAAAAGGUGCCUUAUCCCAUCUGGCUUAUGAGACCACAGGAAUACUCCCUGAUGUGGGUGUCUGCAGACGUCAUCUCCUUCGCUGUGGUCAUUGGAAUAUUCAUUUUCCAGAACUAUCACAUGAUCAGGUAUCGGAUGAGCGGCAUGCGCAGCUACAACCCUGAGCAGAUCAUGCUGAGUGCCACCGUCAGGAGGCCCAGUCGAGACAUGAGCGUCAUGAAGGAGAAACUCAUCUUCUCAGGUCAGACCCAGUAGCUUCCUGCCUCCUCCAUCAUUCGUGUGUGAUGUGCACCACCUCCUGUUCAUCCUACCUCCUCCUCCUCCACCAGCAGUGACUUCUUCCUUUAGUUCCAUGCAUCCAUUACAUCCCCUCGUUACCUGCAACCUCUCUGCCUACUUUUACCCUUCAUUCCUUCAUCCAUGCAUCCGUCGCUUCACGCAACAAAUCUCCCCGACAUUCUUCCCAGUGGAGACCACAUUGUGUUUAGGGGAGUUUAUAGACGCUCCGGUCUGUCUAGACUGCCUGUAGGGCUGCGGGUGAAAGAGGUGGGGAAUGGAGAUGGCAGUGCCGAGGAGCUGUAUGAGGACAAUGGUUAUGAAUACUACACCAAUCAGGGCAUUUGCCAGUGAUUCUAACAGAGCCUGGGGGAUUCUGCUGCAGUGAGACCAAGACAGCAACAGUCUGCAUUCAGAUCAUUCCUAUUUUAGCCAGUGUAACGUCUCCCUCCUCCUCCUCCUCCUCCUCCUCCUCCUCCUCCUCCUGUCCUGCUGAUUAAUGAUCGACUGCUACAGAAAACCCAGUGGAUUCAUGUACAUUCUGUAAAUAGGUUUUUUUUGCUUGUCCGACUACACAGUUUUUAUAAAGACAAUUAGCCAAAUCUGUGGCCUCCUCCUGUUAUAACUAAAUGUGCAAGAUCCCCCCCCCCCCCCCCCCCCCCCAAGUUACCAAAGCCUGCUUCUCAAACAUGAAUCUGCAGAUUAGCAACGUAUGACUGUGAAAGUAAAUUAUAAUUUUUAGCAGAUGGCGUUUCUUUUGAAACAAGGCUUUUUUACGAUCUUUUAUUGCAGCAUGGGACAAAAAAAAACCUCGGCAAAUAAUAGUACUUGCAUCAAUAUUUAUAUUUAAAGAGAAAUACAAAAAAAAUGAACACAAACAAGCUGUUUACUGCCUUCUUCUAGUCGUAUGUCAGGUUGUCUUGACGGAGGUUGAAUAAAUCCCUCAUGCAGCCGUUUCCCGAAACGUAACAACGCUAUGGAUGCUCCAUCAUUCAAGCCCAACGUGGCCCAGAACCAAUUGUUCUGUCAAAGUUAAGCCCUCACCAAACACUACAGAUACCUGUGUUCCAGUGUGAAGGUGAGGCGUCAACAAAUCCGCUGACACUUGUUGUAGUCGGUCCACACACUGUAUUUAAAAAGGGUAUUUUAAAAGAAAGUAGACUCAGUCGUAAUUUAAAUCCCGUGCCCUUUUUAAAAUCAUUUCCGAAUACUUAAGAUUGAUUGUAAAUCGUAUUUGUAAUUGUAAAAAAAAGUUUAAAAGCUAGUUAUUUAUUUAUUUUGAAUGACCUCAUGGCCCCCCCUACAGUAUCUUCAUUGCCCACUAGGGGGUUGCGGCGGUCCACACUUUUGUAAUUACUGCCCUGUUGCAUGUUACAGUAAUGAUCAUAUCAGAUGACUUGUCGUGUGAGCUGUGCUCCCAAUGUAUUAAAAUGUUGAACUGGUGAAACUGGUUUGAGGUAGAGCUUUAUGCUGUUUAAAGUGAGCGUGUUAUGAUGGUUAAAUCUCUUUUAAAGGUGUGUAUGGUGUAUUGUGUAUUGUGUGGAUCCUGGCUGGAUUAUUUUUUUUUUUUUUUUUUUAACCUGUGUGUGCUGCUGCUGUGGUGUUAUUGUACAUAAAGGGUGAGCCAAUGCGACAAACACUCCAGCCAACUAAGCGUUACAUUUGUAAAAUGAUACCAGUUCAGUUGUCACAAUAGCAAUAGCUUGGACAUGAGAGAAGAUAUUCCACUUCCUGCACAGCCUGCAGAGUGCGGUUAGGUCUGUGGUGUUGUUGUACAAACACAGUUCAUCUCACUCUUAUUAGACCUAAAUGCUGUAUUUGUUAAUGAAGUGGGUGGCGAUUAAAAUGUGAACAUAAAGCUUGAAGCUAACUGAAGGGCGUCUCUACUACAGGUUUCACAGCAGGCCGCACAGACGUGUGUUGCCUCUUGUUUUAUUUCUUUACCGUGCCUCAGAAUGAAACAUUAAAACAUCUUCAAAUAUG